UACGUAGGGGGCUAGCGUUGCUCGGAAUCACUGGGCGUAAAGGGUGCGUAGGCGGGUCUUUAAGUCAGGGGUGAAAUCCUGGAGCUCAACUCCAGAACUGCCUUUGAUACUGAAGAUCUUGAGUUCGGGAGAGGUGAGUGGAACUGCGAGUGUAGAGGUGAAAUUCGUAGAUAUUCGCAAGAACACCAGUGGCGAAGGCGGCAUCCUGGACCAACACUGACGCUGAGGAGCGAAAGCCAGGGGAGCAAACGGG
rnacentral:rRNA from 1 species